GCAUGUCUAAGUAUAAGCACUUUAUACUGUGAAACUGCGAAUGGCUCAUUAAAUCAGUUAUCGUUUAUUUGAUAGUACCUUACUACAUGGAUACCUGUGGUAAUUCUAGAGCUAAUACAUGCUAAAAACCUCGACUUCGGAAGGGGUGUAUUUAUUAGAUAAAAAACCAAUGCCCUUCGGGGCUCCUUGGUGAUUCAUAAUAACUUAACGAAUCGCAUGGCCUUGCGCCGGCGAUGGUUCAUUCAAAUUUCUGCCCUAUCAACUUUCGAUGGUAGGAUAGUGGCCUACCAUGGUGGCAACGGGUAACGGGGAAUUAGGGUUCGAUUCCGGAGAGGGAGCCUGAGAAACGGCUACCACAUCCAAGGAAGGCAGCAGGCGCGCAAAUUACCCAAUCCCGACACGGGGAGGUAGUGACAAUAAAUACUGAUACGGGGCUCUUUUGGGUCUCGUAAUUGGAAUGAGUACAAUCUAAAUCCCUUAACGAGGAACAAUUGGAGGGCAAGUCUGGUGCCAGCAGCCGCGGUAAUUCCAGCUCCAAUAGCGUAUAUUAAAGUUGUUGCAGUUAAAAAGCUCGUAGUUGAACCUUGGGUCUGGCUGGCCGGUCCGCCUCACCGCGAGUACUGGUCCGGCUGGACCUUUCCUUCUGGGGAACCUCAUGGCCUUCACUGGCUGUGGGGGGAACCAGGACUUUUACUGUGAAAAAAUUAGAGUGUUCAAAGCAGGCCUUUGCUCGAAUACAUUAGCAUGGAAUAAUAGAAUAGGACGUGCGGUUCUAUUUUGUUGGUUUCUAGGACCGCCGUAAUGAUUAAUAGGGAUAGUCGGGGGCGUCAGUAUUCAGCUGUCAGAGGUGAAAUUCUUGGAUUUGCUGAAGACUAACUACUGCGAAAGCAUUCGCCAAGGAUGUUUUCAUUAAUCAGGGAACGAAAGUUAGGGGAUCGAAGACGAUCAGAUACCGUCGUAGUCUUAACCAUAAACUAUGCCGACUAGGGAUCGGGCGGUGUUUCUAUGAUGACCCGCUCGGCACCUUACGAGAAAUCAAAGUUUUUNGNUNCUGGGGGGGAGUAUNGNCG
rnacentral:rRNA from 1 species